rnacentral:rRNA from 1 species
AGGACUAACGCUGGCGGCGUGCCUAACACAUGCAAGUCGAACGAGGUAGCAAUACCUAGUGGCAGACGGGUGAGUAACACGUAGUCAACCUUCCCGAUAGUGGGGGAUAACUAGCCGAAAGGUUAGCUAAUACCGCAUACGAUCUUCGAGUGGCAUCAUUUGAAGAUGAAAGGAGCAAUCCGCUUUCGGACGGGACUGCGUCCCAUUAGCUAGAUGGUGGGGUAAUGGCCUACCAUGGCAACGAUGGGUAGCUGGUUUGAGAGAGCGACCAGCCACACUGGGACUGAGAAACGGCCCAGACUCCUACGGAGGCAGCAGUGAGGAAUUUUCCGCAAUGGGCGAAAGCCUGACGGAGCGACGCCGCGUGUGGGAAGAAGGCCUUCGGGUCGUAACCACUGUCGAAGGGAAAUACUGAUGGUACCCUUGGAGGAAGGCCCGGCUAACUACGCGCCAGCAGCCGC